rnacentral:rRNA from 1 species
UACGUAGGGUGCGAGCGUUUGUCCGGAAUUAUUGGGCGUAAAGGGCGUGUAGGCGGUUUGUUAAGUCAUGUGUGAAAUCCCUCGGCUCAACCGGGGAACGACGCAUGAAACUGGCAAGCUAGAGUACCAAAGAGGGGGUGGAAUUCCCGGUGUAGCGGUGAAAUGCGUAGAUAAUCGGGAGGAACACCUGUGGCGAAGGCGGCCCCCUGGUUGGAUACUGACGCUGAUACGCGAAAGCGUGGGGAGCAAACAGG